rnacentral:rRNA from 1 species
CCUACGGGAGGCAGCAGUGGGGAAUAUUGGACAAUGGGGGGAACCCUGAUCCAGCGACGCCGCGUGAGUGAAGAAGUAUUUCGGUAUGUAAAGCUCUAUCAGCAGGGAAGAAAGAAAUGACGGUACCUGACUAAGAAGCCCCGGCUAACUACGUGCCAGCAGCCGCGGGAAUACGUAGGGGGCAAGCGUUAUCCGGAUUUACUGGGGGUAAAGGGAGCGUAGACGGCGAUGCAAGUCUGAAGUGAAAGGCGGGGGCCCAACCCCCGGACUGCUUUGGAAACUGUAUGGCUGGAGUGCAGGAGAGGUAAGUGGAAUUCGUGGGGUAGCGGUGAAAUGCGUAGAUAUUAGGAGGAACACCAGUGGCGAAGGCGGCUUACUGGACUGUAACUGACGUUGAGGCUCGAAAGCGUGGGGAGCGAACAGGAUUAGAUACCCGAGUAGUC